rnacentral:rRNA from 1 species
GGUCUCCUACGGGGCGCAGCAGUGGGGAAUAUUGGACAAUGGGGGGAACCCUGAUCCAGCGACGCCGCGUGAGUGAAGAAGUAUUUCGGUAUGUAAAGCUCUAUCAGCAGGGAAGAAAGAAAUGACGGUACCUGACUAAGAAGCCCCGGCUAACUACGUGCCAGCAGCCGCGGUAAUACGUAGGGGGCAAGCGUUAUCCGGAUUUACUGGGUGUAAAGGGAGCGUAGACGGUUAUGUAAGUCUGGAGUGAAAGCCCGGGGCCCAACCCCGGGACUGCUUUGGAAACUGUGUAACUGGAGUACAGG